AUAAGCUAAAUAAGGGCGUAUGGGGAAUGCCUAGGCUCUCAGAGGCGAAGAAGGACGUGAUAAGCUGCGAAAAGCUGCGGGGAGAGGCACAUACUCAUUGAUCCGCAGAUAUCCGAAUGGGGCAACCCACCAUAUUGAAGAUAUGGUAUCCUGUAAGGGAGGCGAACCCGGGGAACUGAAACAUCUAAGUACCCGGAGGAGAAGAAAACAAUAGUGAUUGCGCUAGUAGUGGCGAGCGAACGCGCAUUAGCCCAAACCGGUAAGUUUACGGACUUGCCGGGGUUGUAGGACCACGACCUUGGUUGUGAACAGAAUUAGAACACUUUGGAAAGAGUGGCCAUAGACGGUGAUAGCCCGGUAUAAGUAAUGAACAUAAACCAUAGUGGUAUCCUGAGUAGUGCGGGGCACGAGAAACCCUGUAUGAAUUUGGCGGGACCAUCCGCUAAGGCUAAAUACUCCUGAGAGACCGAUAGUGAACCAGUACCGUGAGGGAAAGGUGAAAAGAACCGUGAAUAACGGAGUGAAAUAGAUCCUGAAACCAUACGCUUACAAGCGGUCGGAGUCCUAUAUGGAUGACGGCGUGCCUUUUGCAUAAUGAGCCUACGAGUUAACGUUGCCAGCGAGGUUAAGGGGNNNNNNNNNNNNNNNNNNNNNNNNNNNNNNNNNNNNNNNNNNNNNNNNNNNNNNNNNNNNNNNNNNNNNNNNNNNNNNNNNNNNNNNNNNNNNNNCUUUAGUUGGUAGUGUUAGACGCGAAACCGUGUGAUCUACCCUUGGGCAGGUUGAAGCUGUGGUAACACAUAGUGGAGGACCGAACCCGUUGACGUUGAAAAGUCUUGGGAUGACCUGAGGGUAGGGGUGAAAGGCCAAUCAAACUCGGAAAUAGCUCGUACUCCCCGAAAUGCAUUUAGGUGCAGCGAUUAAUUAGUUUUAUAGAGGUAGAGCUACUGAUUGGAUGCGGGGGCUUCACCGCCUACCAAUUCCUGACAAACUCCGAAUGCUAUAAAAUGAUGUUGAUCAGUGAGGGCAUGGGUGCUAAGGUCCAUGUCCGAGAGGGAAAGAACCCAGACCAUCAGCUAAGGUCCCCAAAUGUAUGUUAAGUUGAAAAAACGCGGUUGAACUGCUUAGACAGCUAGGAUGUUGGCUUGGAAGCAGCCAUUCAUUUAAAGAGUGCGUAACAGCUCACUAGUCGAGCGGUUCGGCAUGGAUAAUAAUCGGGCAUAAACAUACUACCGAAGCUAUGGAUAGUCUCCCCCCUUUAGGGGGUUAGGGGGCUGUGGUAGGGGAGCAUUGUAACAGCGUAGAAGGUGUACCUGCGAGGGAUGCUGGAGCGGUUACAAAAGAAAAUGUAGGCAUAAGUAACGAUAAUGCGGGCGAGAAACCCGCACACCGAAAGACUAAGGUUUCCUCAGCUAUGCUAAUCAGCUGAGGGUUAGUCGGGGCCUAAGGCGAACCCGAAAGGGGUAGUCGAUGGACAACCAGUUAAUAUUCUGGUACCUGCUUUACGUUAAAAGUGACGGAGGCGAGAAUUAGGUGCGCACAGACGGAAUUGUGCGUUGAAGGAAGUGGUAACACUCCGAUAGUACACCAAAGCUUCGGCGGCGGUGAUAAUCCUGAAUAUCGACUUCCAAGAAAAGCGAGUAAAGCAGCCCGUACCGCAAACCGACACAGGUAGUUGGGAUGAGAAUUCUAAGGUGCUCGAGAGAUUCAUGGCUAAGGAACUAGGCAAAAUUGACCCGUAACUUCGGGAGAAGGGUCGCCCUCCAAAGUGCUUGCACGGCGGAGGGCCGCAGUGAAGAGGUCCAGGCGACUGUUUAUCAAAAACACAGGACUCUGCUAAAUCGAAAGAUGAUGUAUAGGGUCUGACACCUGCCCGGUGCUGGAAGGUUAAGAGGAGAUGUUACCCCGAGUAAUCGGGGGAAGCAUUGAAUUGAAGCCCCAGUAAACGGCGGCCGUAACUAUAACGGUCCUAAGGUAGCGAAAUUCCUUGUCGGGUAAGUUCCGACCUGCACGAAUGGUGCAACGAUCUGGACACUGUCUCAGCCAUGAGCUCGGUGAAAUUGUAGUAUCGGUGAAGAUGCCGAUUACCCGCUGUGGGACGAAAAGACCCCGUGCACCUUUACUAUAGCUUAGUAUUGACUUUGGACAAGUGAUGUGUAGGAUAGGUGGGAGACGUUGAAGCAGCCUCGCCAGGGGUUGUGGAGUCAUUGUUGAAAUACCACCCUUUACUUGUUUGAAGCCUAACCCCGAUUACUCGGGGGACAGUGCUUGGUGGGUAGUUUGACUGGGGUGGUCGCCUCCAAAAGAGUAACGGAGGCUUCUAAAGGUUCCCUCAGCACGCUUGGUAACCGUGCGUAGAGUGCAAUGGCAUAAGGGAGCUUGACUGAGAGACAUACAGGUCGAUCAGGUACGAAAGUAGAGCAUAGUGAUCCGGUGGUUCCGCAUGGAAGGGCCAUCGCUCAAAGGAUAAAAGGUACGCCGGGGAUAACAGGCUGAUCUCCCCCAAGAGCUCACAUCGACGGGGGGGUUUGGCACCUCGAUGUCGGCUCGUCACAUCCUGGGGCUGGAGAAGGUCCCAAGGGUUGGGCUGUUCGCCCAUUAAAGUGGCACGCGAGCUGGGUUCAGAACGUCGUGAGACAGUUCGGUCUCUAUCUACAGUGGGCGUUAGAAAUUUGAGUGGAUCUGACUCUAGUACGAGAGGACCGAGUUGGACUGACCUCUGGUGUACCAGUUGUUCCGCCAGGAGCACUGCUGGGUAGCUACGUCGGGAAGGGAUAAGCGCUGAAAGCAUAUAAGCGCGAAACCCACCACAAGAUGAGAUUUCUUUAAAGGAUCGUGGGAGACUACCACGUUGAUAGGUCACAGGUGUAAAGGCAGUAAUGUCAUAGCCGAGUGAUACUAAUAAUCCGUAUAGCUUAGUGC
rnacentral:rRNA from 1 species